AUUAACGCUGGCAGAGUGCAUAACACAUGCAAGUCGAGCGGGGUGGCGGAUCAUCGCGCCCAGCGGCAAACGAGUGAGUAACACGUAAGCAAUCUGCCCUCGAAUGGCGGACAACCAGCCGAAAGGUUGGCUAAUACGCCGUAGAAUCCCUGGAAGGCAUCUUCCGGGGAUGAUAGGCCCGCAAGGGUCGUUCGAGGAGGAGCUUGCGUCCCAUCAGCUAGUUGGCGGGGUAACGGCCCACCAAGGCUAUGACGGGUACCCGGCCUGAAAGGGCGGACGGGCACGAAGGCACUGAGACACGGGCCUUACUCCUACGGGAGGCAGCAGUGGGGAAUUUUGGACAAUGGGGGAAACCCUGAUCCAGCAACUCUGCGUGAGGGACGAAGUCUUUCGGGAUGUAAACCUCUUUUAUCUGGGAAGAAGGCCCGCAAGGGUUUGACGGUACCAGGUGAAUAAGCCACGGCUAACUAUGU
rnacentral:rRNA from 1 species